rnacentral:lncRNA from 1 species
GCCGGUUUCUACAUCUGUUGGCUUUUAAUGAACGGUGGUGUUCUCAAUUUUCAAAAGUAAUAUUGAAGCCUUAAAGCCUAUCAACUUGCUGAAUGAAAAUUUUAAAAUAUAUACAUAUAUAUAAAUGUAAAAUAAUAUCUAUUCAAAUUUUUUUGUGAAAAAUAAUUAGUGAUAAAAAUUAUUUUUUGUUGCAAAUAAGAUAAUUAAUGA